GACGAACGCUGGCGGCGUGCCUAAUACAUGCAAGUCGAGCGAAGUUUUUCUGGUGCUUGCACUAGAAAAACUUAGCGGCGAACGGGUGAGUAACACGUAAAGAACCUGCCUCAUAGACUGGGACAACUAUUGGAAACGAUAGCUAAUACCGGAUAACAGUAUUUCUCGCAUGAGAGAUAUUUAAAAGUUGGUUAUGCUAACACUAUGAGAUGGCUUUGCGGUGCAUUAGCUAGUUGGUGGGGUAAAGGCCUACCAAGGCGACGAUGCAUAGCCGACCUGAGAGGGUGAUCGGCCACACUGGGACUGAGACACGGCCCAGACUCCUACGGGAGGCAGCAGUAGGGAAUCUUCCGCAAUGGGCGAAAGCCUGACGGAGCAACGCCGCGUGAGUGAAGAAGGAUUUCGAUUCGUAAAGCUCUGUUGUUAGGGAAGAAUGAUUAUGUAGUAACUAUACAUAGUAGAGACG
rnacentral:rRNA from 1 species